rnacentral:SRP_RNA from 1 species
GCCGGGUGCAGUGGCGUGUGCCUGUGAUCCCAGCUACUGGGAGGCUGAGGCUGUUGGAUCACUUGAGUUCAGGAGUUCUGUUCUGCCAUGAGCUAUGUCGAUCGGGUGUCCGCACUAAGUUCAGCACCAAUAUGGUGACUCUGAGGGAGCUUGGAGCUACCAGGUUGGUCUAAGGAGGGGUGAACCGGCCCAGGUUGGGAACAGAGCAGGUCAAAUCCCCUGUGUUGAUCAGUAGUGGGACAGCACCUGUGAAUAGACAAUGUAGAGCAGCCUGGUCAAAACAGUGAGACACUGACUUUU